rnacentral:lncRNA from 1 species
CGGCCCACCCAGUCCGCGAGAACCGGGCAGAUCGCCUCGACGGUACGGAGGCCGGCCGACGGGUCCGCCAAACGACGAGACCACGCCUCCAGCACGGACUGCCGAUAUUGGAGCCCCCGCGCUCCGGCUGCACUUGCGCUAGGGCGCGCCGCCUCGUAGGAGACUGUGAGGUGCUGUGGCAGGUCCAACCAGAGACGUCAACGUGUGUUCCAGAGCUUCAGUGUGUUACAGAUAAGUGGUUUUGGCUUCCCCUUUAUGUUCCAUUCAGGGUCAGAAUGUAGUCUUAUAAAACAAAGUCAUAGUAAUUUAUUCAAUGGUAAGCGGUUUCAUGAACAAGUCACUCUUUGAUCUGAAAGUAACUUAGACCAAUCAUGAUGGCAAGAGCACUUAGGGGAUAUUCAACUCGCCCUUAAUAGUGCACGUUGUCGAGUAACAGGGUUUACUCCAAUAGAAUAGACGUUUGCCGUUCAGGGUAGUUCACUUGAAAUAUCUUAAAGUUUCAACAGAGUGAUAAUCCCUCUAGAUUAGAUCUUGAUUUAGCACGGUCGAAGACCGGCGAAAACAUAAAAAAAGGGCACAAACAGAAGCUUGGUUUAGUCGAGGCAAAGCUAAAGUCAAACUCUUUUCCGCUGGGGAUUUUGUUUUCGUAAGUUGACCGAAAAUGUAAAGGUCCCUUCAACAUUACUGCAGUUUUGGAAAACGAUAGGUAUAAAUUGAGACAUGUAAAUAGUUCUAAUAGAGUGUACAAAUUUCCCCAUGAAAACUUACGUGAAAUACCUCGAGGCCCGUCAGGCCUACUAGAAAUUUCUGAAAAUUAUAGUGACGAUGACGUGACGGCGUACACAGAUGGGUUAAUUAAUCUUGUUCAUGAAACUGAUCUUAAUGAUGACGACUCUAUCACUGACAAUAGAAGCGACAUUUUUGUCCGCAAAUAGCGAUACAGCAAACAUAGUCUGUGGGUAGUGAUACAAUGUCUGUAAGCUCAGGCACCUCAGGUGCAGGUGUUGGAAAUGUAGAAAACGAUGGUCGGUCUCGCACUAUUUCUGAAGAAAUUCCGUAUAAAUGUUCUGGUUUAAGAAAUGUUUUAACAAACGCUACCGUACACGCAGAUUAAAAAAAAAAAAAAAAGAGAAUUGUAUGUGGCUAGAGAGAUGUUAAUCCGGACUAGCAAAAAAAAAA